CCACAGGUGCUGAGCAUCCCUGCACGCUCUUGCUGGGUUCGGAAGAGCAUAAGGCCUGACCACUCUUUACCAGGCCGUUUCUCAGGGCUGAGUCUGCGGUAAGCAACCUUGAGAGAUGAGCCUCCAACAGAGAGCACCCAGUAUUAUGAACAAGGAAAACAUUCAUCUUGAAACAAGAUAAGGGGAUGGUGAACUUAAAAGGAAACAAAUGCCAACUGGAACUUAAGUUUUCUCUCCUUUUUAUGGAUAAAGUACCUCUUGGAAAUAAGUACUUUUAUAUUGUCAGUAUGACUGUAUAAAGUUAUUUUUCUUUCAUUAAAAUAUAAUACCUAUUUCA